GAUGAACGCUGGCGGCGUGCUUAACACAUGCAAGUCGAACGGAAAGGCCAGUGCUUGCACUGGUACUCGAGUGGCGAACGGGUGAGUAACACGUGGGUGAUCUGCCCUGCACUUCGGGAUAAGCCUUGGAAACUGGGUCUCAUACCGGAUAGGACAAUGGUUUGGAUGCCGUUGUGGAAAGUUUUUUCGGUGUGGGAUGAGCUCGCGGAGUAUCCGCUUGUUGAUGGGGUAAUGGCGUACCAAGGCGUCGAGGGGUAGCCGGCAUGAGAGGGUGUACGGCCGGACCGGGAUCGUAAGGCGGGCCGGAGUCGGGCGGGUUGCGGCAGGGGGGAAAGUUUCACAGUGGGCGCAAGCGUGAGUGAGGGAGGUCUCGGGGUGGAUGAACGCUGUUGUGAUGGAAACUCCAAUGGCUAAGUAAGUAGCGUAGUUGUGACGGUACCUGGUGAAGAAGCACCGGCUAACUACGUG
rnacentral:rRNA from 1 species